GCUGUAUCAAUACCCGGACAAGUGGGUAUUUGUAGCGUGCCUUAGGUCAGGAAAGCAGGUCCUGGUGUGUUUGGGUGUCAGAGGAACCAAAAUGCUUUGUCUGUUACUGAGAGUGGUCCCGUGAUUUGAAUGUUAAAUGCUCUUGGUUUGACAGCCCUUGAAGAAGGGAUUGCAUGUGACACAGCUCUUGUUUCAUAGGGUGAGAAAUCCCAUAGGAAUCCAUCUUCCCCUGAGGGAACAUCAGACAAACUGGGAAAUGGAUGUGCCCCCCAUCAGGCACAGGAGGUCCAUGUUGCUGGAGUGAAGAUCUUCUAUGGCUCUCAGACUGGCACAGCAAAGAGAUUUGCCAAGGUUCUGGCUGAAGCUGUUACUUCCCUUAAUUUGCCUGUGGAAGUCAUUAACAUGGGAGACUAUGAUCCAGAAGAUGGUUUAGCAGAGGAGACAAGCAGCAGGAACAUCUGUGUGUUCCUGGUGGCCACCUACACAGAGGGGCAGCCCCCGGAGAGCGCAGCCUGGUUCUGCAAGUGGCUGGAAGAGGCAGCCAAUGAUUUCCGUGUUGGGAAAAGCUUCCUGCAGGGCCUGAGAUAGGCCGAGUUCCCCAGCCCGAACACGGCGUAUGUGGAUCACUACAACACAGUGAGUGUCCCUCCAGCUCCCUGCUUGGCUUCUGCUCCUCAAGAGCCUCAGCUGCAUGAAGUGCAUCAAACCCAAAUGAGGCUGGUGGUCUGUGUGGGAAUUGCAGCUGUUGUGCUGACUGGGUGAGGCACUGGGUUUAGGGCUUGGGCAGAAUAUCAGAGCCAUUGAGAUUGGAAAAAGCCUCUAAGAUCACUGA